rnacentral:rRNA from 1 species
AUUGAACGCUGGCGGCAGGCCUAACACAUGCAAGUCGAGCGAGCGGCGGCCGGGUGAGUAAUGUCUGGGAAACUGCCUGAUGGAGGGGGAUAACUACUGGAAAAGGUAGCUAAUACCGCAUACGAUCAGCGAUGCCCAGAUGGGAUUAGCUAGUAGGUGGGGUAAUGACUCACCUAGGCGACGAGCCAUAGCUGGUAUGAGAGGGUGACCAGCCACACUGGAACUGAGACACGGUCCAGACUCCUACGUGAGGCGGCAGUGGGGAAUAUUGCACAAUGGGCGCAAGCCUGAUACAGCCAUACCGCGUGUAUUAAGAAGGCCUUCGGGUUGUAAAGUACUUUCAGCGAGGAGGCGUUACUCGCAGAAGAAGCACCGGCUAACUCCGUGCCAGCAGCCGCGGUAAUUC